ACAGUCUCACAACGAAAACGUCGCUGGGUUGACUUUCUCAAAAGCACCGCCCAAACGUCUACUUAUCCACGUAUGAAGGCCAUUGGCCCCUCCUUCGGAAAACUUCGGAUUCUGGGCCAUCACCCGAGUGCAGCCGAACGUCCGCCAUACUGCCCUCGCGCUCUGUGUGUGUGCUGGUCUAAAAUGGCUCAAACACCCAUUAACACAAACUGGCAGGACCUGGAUGAGGAAGUGCAACAAGCACAGAAGAUGUUGGAUGUUAUGGAGCAACAGAUUGUGAGGCCAGGACACACCACAAAGGCCAGAAACAAAAGAAGAAGAGUUGAGCCUACUGUAAAAUGGGUUGAGAGAGAUGCCUGUGGAUACAGAAUUCAAGACAACAGCAAACCUUUAAGGAGAGAGUCAGUCCCCAGAAUGCCUCUAGUACCAGAGAUUCAAUCAACUGCCAGGGCAGAUGAAUCAUGUUUUGAUCCUUCCAUCAAAGGUCCAAGCAAUGAAGAGAUGCUAGAUGUUCUUCGUCAAGAAAUGGAGGAACUUAUUUCUGAUGCAUUAUUGGACGAUCCUGAAGUUCGCACUAUUCCAAACAUUGCUUCUGUAGACUGGGCUAUACGAAAAUCAAAGUCUCUUGAACGAUGGAAAGAACUAAGACCGGACUUGAUUCAGUACAUGUUGAAAGCUGAAAACACUGUGCAGACCUUGUGUAGUUACUGCAGGAAUAAAAAAGCUGUCCUUCGGUGCCAAGAUUGUCUUCCUAAACAAUACUAUUGUGAAGAUUGUGAUCUCUCAUUUCAUGCAGUAUUUGUGCUGCAUAAUAGGGACAGUAUGGUUGAUGGAUUUUUCAUGCCCAUUCCACCAACAACAGUAAUCAAGUUUGCCAGUGAUGGUAAACUGAUAUAUGAAGAAAAAGACUGUAAAUUGCCAGUACCAGUACCUGAGAGAAUAUGUGCAUGUGCAGCAGCAGCAGCAGCAGCUACAGCCAGUAUUGGCAAACGGGUCAUUUUAAUAACUGUAAACGGCCGAUAUAGUAUGUAUUUGCCUGUCUUGAAUUGCACAUUUUGUGGCAACAGUUGGUCACCAAACUCCAGUGAUCUUAUACAGAAUGGGUAUUGGCCAGCCUCAGUGAGCUACGAAACUAUAUAUUCCAUGGACCUCUUCUCCAUGUUUGAAGACAUGAAGGUAAUUGCUCCAGCAAUGUCCCUCCAGGCCUUUACAAGGACAUUAGAGCGUCGGACUUCACAUUUUGGCAGGGACAGAUGAAAAGGGGUUUUAUGAUGGUUGUCUCUUAGCAAAAGAUGAAGAGGUCUCUAGCUUUGUGGACUACAUACACAAGACAACAAAACAUGUGUCUGGAAAAGGAAAAUGUGGAGCCUCUCAGUGGGCAGCAGCCAAAGAAUCGUCUAAAAAAUCUACCAGUAAAAUAGAUGAAGAGGGACUUGAGGUUGCAGUGUGUCGACACGGCAUAAUAUUAAAGGCCCUGAAUAUGUUUCAGGGUGAAAUAUUUGCUUAUCCUCUCUUUCUCCAGAAAGAGAUAGCUGUAAACAAAGUUAAGUUUUUCUGCAGUGAUGUAGUUUGCAGAUAUUGGCCAUAUCUACAGAAGGUUGUGAACGUUUGUCCAGAGCUUUCCCAUCUUCAAGACAUGAAGCCUUUUCUUUCCAUAAUGCAUGCUAAAGCACAUGCUUCAAAAUGUGAGGUAAUUUGCAUUACUAGAAAUGCAUCUGUAGUAGUCCUUCAUUUACUUAGGCUGUGUAUCAUUCUUUUUCUUUCCUUUUCACGCUGUAGAUUAAAUGGGGAGGAAGGAACCAGCAGGGUGCUGGGACAACUUUAGGUGAAGAGGUAGAACAAGUAAAUAGCUUUCUUUCAAAGACUGCUAUCUGCCUGAAACAAAUGUCCAAAUCAGGUGUGUGUGUGUGUGUGUGUGUGUGUGUGUGUGUGUGUGUGUGUGACUUACUUAUUUACUUAUUUAAUUACAGUUCGAACAGACAUGUUAACUAUUCAGGUGAUUGGUUGGAAUGGACGAAAAAGAGACAACAUGCACUGUGCCUUAUCUCAAAGAUACAGGAAGACUGUAGCCAGAGCCAAAGAACAAGCUGAAAAAGUUGAAAGGCUUCAAGAAGAAUUUGGAAUUGGACAUCCUUGAAGCAUGGACUUUAGAUAUCCAGCAGUGGGCAAAUACAGCUUCAGGUGCUGAAACUGCUUUGGGUCCAGAGGGUCUACAACAGAAAAUUGAGGGGCUGUUCCUGAGCAUCAAACAAAGGAAACAACAACUUUACUCUCAAACAGACCGCAAUAAAAGACGACAUCAUUUAAGAAGGAAGCUGGCAGCUGCUGUUGAAGAGUAUAAUAACUUUGUUUUGGAUGACCAGAAGAUUUGUACCGUGGAUACCAUUCUGUCUUCUGAAAGCCAUACAUGGCCUUGGGAGUUGCAUGGGCUUGGAAGUUCUGUUGACCUCUACUCCAAGAAGAGAGUGUUUGAUGAAGUUAUGAUGAUGAGAAGACUACAAGAAGAAGAGUCCAUUCUUCUAAUGGAGAUCAAGCAGCACUGGGACUCCCUAAGGGCAUAUUCUCAGGCCUUAAAACAGCUUGCUACACAACUGUGCCAGGACCUGAGCAGUCAACGUGGUGAUCUGGGUGAGAUGGAUGCAAAAAGGGGACUUCUGUGCUUUGUAAGGAAAAGGCAGUCAUACUUUAAAAAUCACCUACAUAUUGUCAGAGCAAAAUAUCUUGGUGGAAUGCACCAAGAUGUUUCUCCACUUGAAGAUGAUUUGGAUGACUUCAGCUGUGACA